GUUCAAUAUUUGUUUGACAUCCGACACGUUUACAUUUUAUAUGAGUACACAGUAUGUUUCAACAAACUUAUAUCUAUGUCAUUUGCAAUUAAGGAUGCAGACUUUGAAACUAGUUGUUGUUGGAGAUUGUGGAGUGGGAAAGUCAUCUCUCUUAAUGAGCUACGUUGAGAACAAAUAUCCAGGCGAAUACGUACCGUUUGUAUGCGACCUUCAUGAUUAUAAACAUAAUAUUCAGCUUGAUGAAACGUUCGUGCAGUUGUGUCUGG